ACUUACCGCUUMYCAUCRAGUGUUAAAUAUGCUAGUCCUUUCAUGAUUAUGUGAUARGUGGUGCAUGGCCGUUCUUAGUUCGUGGAGUGAUCUGUCUGCUUAAUUGCGUUUCACUAAGGGCCCAUAAAUUCAAGGUAUGUUAGCUCUCGUCGCUCUAUGGACCCCUUAACUCCAAUAUUCUUAUUGUGUUAAGCGCGUGUCUUUAUUUUAAGAGUUUUAAGACACUGCGCAUG
rnacentral:rRNA from 1 species